GACGUAGGGCGCGAGCGUUGUCCGGAUUUAUUGGGCGUAAAGAGCUCGUAGGCGGUUUGUCGCGUCUGCUGUGAAAAUCCAGGGCUUAACCCUGAGCUUGCAGUGGGUACGGGCAGACUAGAGUGCGGUAGGGGGAGACUGGAAUUCCUGGUGUAGCGGUGAAAUGCGCAGAUAUCAGGAGGAACACCGGUGGCGAAGGCGGGUCUCUGGGCCGGUAAC
rnacentral:rRNA from 1 species